UAUAGCGUUGAGAGACCUGGUUUAGUGGGGUUAUGUUGGUGGUAGGUGGAUGGUUGGACUGGGUGAUCUUGUAGGUCUUUUCCAACCUAGCUAAUUCUAUGAUUCUAUGAUUCUAUAAAUCCAAUUAAACUUAGCACGGGCUAACUCACCAAAUACAAAUGUGUAUCUACUGCAUUAGUAAAUAAACUAUUUUCACGGAUAAAGCAAAAUGAAUUUACUAUGCUAAAGUCUUUCUAGAGAAGUGUUCAGCUUUGUUUGUUUUAUGAAAUUAAGUAAAAUCAAAAACAGUAAGCAAACAAAAUGGAUUACAUGCGUUACAAAUUCCUCGUGUAUAAGUGGCUCAAGGUACUGAUGACCAGUGUUCUAGAAGUGUUCGUUUACGGUAUCAGUUUUCUUUCUCAUACAAUAAACUCUCCUGAUUUUAUUUAGUGAAUAUUCACAAAAUAAAUUGUGAUUGGAUAAAUUGGAUUACUUUAAUCACUGUCCCAAAUGUUGUAUGGAUCCUCAAGAGACUCACUAAUGUGGUACUUAAGCUGCGACACAGAUGUUUGAAACUUCCAUGAAAAGCACCCUAAUGAGGCUGCCAGGAUGCAUUUAUAGUAUCUUGUGGACUGGUUUGGUAAAGGGGAUUGAUUUCAUUAUAUCCAUAUAUUUUCUUGACUAUCCUUUGAUGGUGUUUCUUUACUAAAUAAAGAUGUGAUCCUGGAAAUAAUUGUGCCCAUGGGUAGUCAUUGUGAGAGGUCUAAUGAAGUCAGUGAAACUGCACAUAGAAAAUACUGUACUUGACAAAUAGGGUUUCACGGUAUCAGCCCAUAGAAGGUAAGCAGUCUACCGAACCCUAAUUUGGAUUGAACGCAGCAUUAUUUUUAAUUCAGUUCAUGUACUAAUUAAAAGUAAAACAUUAAGAUUUCUGCUCUAUGUGAAGUAAUGGUCAAAAUACAUUUACAUUUAAGGGAUUAUAUUUCAAAAAGUUAGAGUGUAAAGUGUAAGAAUCAAUUAUUUCAGAACCUUUUUAAUAUAGUAAUUUGCAACUGAACAGAGCAGGCAAAUGACAGGAAUGACUUAAUGAUGAUAUAUUCAUUUUUUAAUUAUUCCUAGUUAAGCACUGGUCUUGUUUGGAUUUAUACAUUAAUGGAUUUUACAACUGAGAAGUAAUUACUGUGUUUUCCUCUAUUGCCUUCAUGCUAAAUAGUGUACAUACAUAGUGUACUCAAAACAAAUCUCUGCUUCAAAUCCAGUAGCAUUUAUUAAUUAAAUCACAUAUUUUGGGAAAACAUGAGUAAAAUGAUCUGUACUUUUUGUUAAUUGUAUUAAUGCUUAUAGCUUUCAUUGUUGAUAUCUCAUUUUCUCUAAGAUAUCUGUUAUUUUCUCUAAUUUAAACUUCAUUUGACCCAAUUCUAUACACUUGCCAGAUUUAAGUACCUCUCUUUUUAUUUUUUGUCCCUUUCUUAGAUGUUGUAGACUGUAUCCUAGGAACUCUAAACUCUGUCUCUAUUUAUAUAGAUCAAAGUUUUACCGUAAGGCAUACAUUCCUUUAUCUUCAUGGCUUUUCUCUCCAGUUUUACAUCCAGUUUUCAAAAUCAUCCUUGUAAUGUGAACAUGUGGUUGUAGUGCAGUAUUCCUGCACUGAUCUUACAAGUACCAAAUGCAGAGGUAUAUAACUUCUACAUCAUCUUAGGAUUCCUUGUUAUGCAUCUCAAUCUGGAAUUCACUGUUUUUCAGUAUAAUACUUGUCGUGGAAAUGCUAAGUCAGGGCUUGAAACAGUGAUGGAGUACCUGGUGGGAAGGCAGGGCCAACCCAGGGGAGCUCAGGUGUAUGCAGUGCCCCUGAGUGACUGGAAUGGGUUGAGCCAGGAUCCCCCCCUCCCAGACCUCAUUUAAGGGUUGGCAGCAGAGGUAAGGGUAUCUUGCUAGAGAUCCCUGCCUAUCUGAUGCCUUCUGAAGCCUGUCAGACUCCCACUGAAUGCAGUACAACCAUCUGGCUUAUCAGCUACUCUUGGUUUUGUAUUGUUUGCAAACCUGCUGAAGAUACUGUCAUUGUCCAGGUCAUGAAUGAAGAUGCUGAAUGUCUUGGUCUGGGUAUUUCUGUAAAGAAGUCCUUCAUUCCUGCAGUCUCUGAGUGCAAGAAACUCUGUAACAAAGAAAAUAAAAUUGUAUUUCUUACUUACUUAAA